rnacentral:lncRNA from 1 species
UUUUAAUUAUUAUAUAUAUAUUUUUUUGAGACAGGGUCUCGCUCCAUCAUCCAGGCUGGAGUAUAAUGGCACCAUCUCAGCUCACUGUAACCUCUGCCUCCCAGGUUCAAGCAAUUCUCCUGCUUCAGCCUCCCAAGCAGCUGGGAUUAUAGGCACACGCCACCAGGUCCAGCUAAUUUUUGUAUUCUUAGUAGAGAUGGGGUUUCACCAUGUUGGCCAGGCUGGUCUUGAACUCCUGACCAAGUGAUCUGCCUGCCUUGGCCUCUCAAAGUACUGAGACUACAGGUGUAAGCCACCAUGCCCUGGAGGGGCGUGUGGUUUGCUCCUGGCAUCCACUUGGUGAAUCUCCUCCAGAGAUUCUGUGAAACAUGUGUGAUGGCAGGACAGCCCCCACAACCACAAGUUAUCGGGUUCAUGCGGUCAACAGUGUCGUAGAGACGGGGGUUUCACCAUGCUGGCCAGGCUGGUCUCGAACUCCUGACCUCAUGAUCUGCCUGCCUUGGCCUCCCAAAGUGCUGAGAUUACGGGCAUGAGCCACUGCGCCCUGCCAAGUAAGUUCUUUAGUGGUGAU